rnacentral:rRNA from 1 species
GAUGAACGCUGGCGGCGUGCCUAAUACAUGCAAGUCGAGCGAACAGACGAGGAGCUUGCUCCUCUGACGUUAGCGGCGGACGGGUGAGUAACACGUGGAUAACCUACCUAUAAGACUGGGAUAACUUCGGGAAACCGGAGCUAAUACCGGAUAAUAUAUUGAACCGCAUGGUUCAAUAGUGAAAGACGGUUUUGCUGUCACUUAUAGAUGGAUCCGCGCCGCAUUAGCUAGUUGGUAAGGUAACGGCUUACCAAGGCAACGAUGCGUAGCCGACCUGAGAGGGUGAUCGGCCACACUGGAACUGAGACACGGUCCAGACUCCUACGGGAGGCAGCAGUAGGGAAUCUUCCGCAAAGGGCGAAAGCCUGACGGAGCAACGCCGCGUGAGUGAUGAAGGUCUUCGGGUCGUAAAACUCUGUUAUUAGGGAAGAACAAAUGUGUAAGUAACUAUGCACGUCUUGACGGUACCUAAUCAGAAAGCCACGGCUAACUACGUG